CCUACGGGAGGCAGCAGUAGGGAAUAUUGCUCAAUGGGCGAAACCCUGAAGCAGCAACGCCGCGUGAAGGAUGAAGGCUUUCGGAUUGUAAACUCUUUUUGUCCGAGCAGAAAAUGACGGUACCUACCGAGUAAGCACCGGCUAACUCCGUGCUAGCAGCCGCGGUAAUACGGAGGGGGCAAGCGUUACUCGGAAUCACUGGGCGUAAAGAGCGCGUAGGCGGGAUAUCAAGUCAGAUGUUAAAUCCUCUGGCUUAACCAUAGAAUGGCAUUUGAAACUGUCAUUCUAGAGUAUGGGAGAGGUAGGUGGAAUUCGUGGUGUAGCGGUGAAAUGCGUAGAGAUCAGGAGGAACACUCAUUGCGAAGGCGACCUUCUGGAGCAUAACUGACGCUGAUGCACGAAAGCGUGGGGAGCAAACAGGAUUAGAUACCCUAGUAGUC
rnacentral:rRNA from 1 species